GACGUAGGGCGCGAGCGUUGUCCGGAUUUAUUGGGCGUAAAGAGCUCGUAGGCGGCUUGUUACGUCGUUCGUGAAAACUUGGGGCUCAACCCCAAGCUUGCGGUCGAUACGGGCAGGCUAGAGUUCGGUAGGGGAGACUGGAAUUCCUGGUGUAGCGGUGAAAUGCGCAGAUAUCAGGAGGAACACCAAUGGCGAAGGCAGCUCGCUGGGACGGUACUGACGCUGAGACGCGAAAGCGUGGGGAGCAAACAGG
rnacentral:rRNA from 1 species